rnacentral:lncRNA from 1 species
GUGAGUGUGUGUAAGAGUGAAGAGAGAAAGAGGAGCUGCAAGGCAGCAAGAGAGAUGGGAGUUGAGUGAUUAUAUCCUCCUCCAUGUAUUUAUUGUAUCCUUUUUCAAUCUCUAAAUAAUAUUGACUCUUUCCCGUGGAUGUAGGCGGUUUUGCCGAACCACGUAAAUAUUGUGUCUCUGUGUGCUUCUCUUCCGUUGAGCAAUUAUCAGUACAUCACCGGUCGCCGGAUUCCGCCCAACACCUGGCUCCAAAAUGCGUCCAAGAUUACAAUCUUGUUCCUUACCAUCACCCUUCUCAAUAGAAUUCGGUUUCUCAUACUAUCAUUCAGAUGAGUUUUUUCAACAUUUCCACUGACUUCCUCCAGAUUUAGCUUUUUUUCAACCAUCACUUUUUUUUCUCCGACCUUCUCCAAAUUGAAAUCUUCUCCAGCUGUUGAUUUGUUUUCCACACAGACUUCCUCUAUUUGAAUGCCAUCAUCAGCGACCUUGUUGACAUAUUGUUGUCCAAUUCAUCUUGAGCUGGUUCUUGAGAGUCAGAUAAACUCUUGCAUACUAGGUCUUGAACAACCACCACAGCCAACCUGGCCUGGCUGGCAUGGUUCCUCUUCCGUGG